UACGUAGGGCGCAAGCGUUGUCCGGAAUUAUUGGGCGUAAAGAGCUCGUAGGCGGUUUGUCGCGUCUGCCGUGAAAGUCCGGGGCUCAACUCCGGAUCUGCGGUGGGUACGGGCAGACUAGAGUGAUGUAGGGGAGACUGGAAUUCCUGGUGUAGCGGUGAAAUGCGCAGAUAUCAGGAAGAACACCCGUGGCUAAGGCGGCUCUCUAGUACGGUACUGACGCUGAGACGCGAAAGCGUGGGGAGCGAACAGG
rnacentral:rRNA from 1 species